rnacentral:rRNA from 1 species
AGGACGAACGCUGGCGGCGUGCUUAACACAUGCAAGUGGAGCGACGAACCAGGCUUCGGCCUGGGGCAGAGCCGCGAACGGGUGAGUAACACGUGGGUAACCCACCCCGAUGACCGGGACAACCCGAGGAAACUCGGGCUAAUACCGGAUGAGCUCUCAUCUCACGAGGGAUGAGAGGAAAGAUAGCUUCGGCCUUCGCAUCGGGACGGGCCCGCGGCGCAUUAGCUUGUUGGUGGGGUAAAAGGCCUACCAAGGCGACGAUGCGUAGCUGGUCUGAGAGGACGAUCAGCCACACUGGGACUGAGACACGGCCCAGACUCCUACGGGAGGCAGCAGUGGGAAUCUUGCACAAUGCGCGAAAGCGUGAUGCAGCAACGCCGCGUGGGGGAAGAAGGCCUUCGGUUGUAAACCCCUUUCAGUUGGACGAAGCUUCGCCGGUUAAUAGCCGGCUGGAGUGACGGUACCUUCACAAGAAGCCCCGGCUAACUACGUGCCAGCAGCCGCGGUAA